rnacentral:lncRNA from 1 species
AAAAUAUCAUUGUCUAAUGAGGGGAUAUAAAAGGAGAAAUGAAAUAGAAAUAGUGGGGAAGAAUUACUAGAGAAGGUGAAAAAAAUAGACAAACACGGUAAACCCAUCCUCAAGAUCAAAUAUAAAAGGUAUCUCUAUCUCUAUCUUGAAUUUCUGCACUUUAAAAAAAAUUGCCAGCCUUUUAUACACUAUCUGUAUUAUGCUCCUAAUCUUAUUCCAAACUACUAGAGUUUAAAGGCCACAAUGCAUAUACACAUUUCAAUUACCAUCUGCUGCAUUUAUUUAAAUUUAAAUUUCAUCAAAAUUCAAACUUAUGGUUAACUAAUCAUUUUCUCAUUAAAACUUAGAAAAGAUCAAUGUUGAAUCCAACGUCAUUAUUGUGUCUAGCAUUUGGGUGUUAAUAAUUAGUCACAUAUCAGAUUUUUACCAUUAAAAUGAUCUCAAACAAGGUAAAAACCAAUAACAAUGUAUAUACAUGAAACAACAAAACUACCUAACUCCACAAGAUCAAAUACAGAUUGUAUAUUAGGGGGGAAAAAACCGAUACCCAUUUGUCAUAGUUUGGCAAAAAAGGGGAUAAAUUUAAAAACACUUAUAGACAUGGAAAAACACUACUAAAAAAUAAAAACUAAUAUAUCAGGAGAUUGAAAAAAAACAGAUCGUAAGAAAUGGAAAAACAAAUAUACCAUGAUGGAAAAAAUCAGAUCAUAGUAAAUGGAAAAAGUACUAUAGAUCGUAGUAACUGAAAAGGGAAAAAAACUUUACAAAACAGAACAUACUGGAAGAAAUUGCAAGAGGACGAAAAAAUGAGGAAAUCGAAAAUGAGGAAAAGAAGAAAUCAGGAGAUGCGACCGACCAAAAAUAAGCGGAAAACAGUGCUACCUGGCCGGAGACUUCCCGUCACGAGCGCCGGAUGUGUGAGACAUAACGUGCUGGAAGGAAGCUUGGAAAACGCGGCUGAGAAAGAGGGGCAACGAAAAAUAGAAGAGGGAAAAUGAGAUGUUGAGGGGAUCGAUUAGACUUUCCUUCAAGUUUUCAAUAGAUGUUGAGGAGAUGUUGCUGGAAAAGUGAAUUCACCCUUACGUCCACCAGUCUAUUGCAUGUUUAGCGUACUAUUGCCUGCAUGAGUGUCCUUCAGUCUGGAAAAUACUUACACCAACAAUGGACGGUCAGAAUUAAAAGGCUUGAAUUGGACGGUCAUGAUGGAGUUCUCAGAUAGUGCUCAUAUAGAGGUUCUUAGUAGAAGCGUUCUGCAUAUAUAUAUAUAUCAUAUGACUUGUGG